rnacentral:rRNA from 1 species
GACAGAGGCCCCGAGCGUUAGGCGGAAUCACUGGGCUUAAAGCGUGUGUAGGCGGACGCCUAAGUACCUCGGUGAAAUCCCACGGCUCACCCGUGGAACGGCUGGGUAUACUGGGCGUCUUGGGCCACUUAGGGGCGACUGGAACAAGCGGUGGAGCGGUGAAAUGCGUAGAUAUCGCUUGGAACGCCGACGGUGAAAACAGGUCGCUGGGAGUGCGCCGACGCUGAGACACGAAAGCCAGGGGGAGCGAACGGGG